AUCUGUUCUUAUCAGUUUAAUAUCUGAUACGUCCCCUACCGGGGACCAUAUAUUAAAUUGAUUUUUGGAUCAGGGAGCCGGAACGGGGGCUUGCUCCUUCCACUCCACGCAUCGACCCGGUAUUGCAUUACCUCCAGGUACGGUGC
rnacentral:snRNA from 1 species